rnacentral:rRNA from 1 species
CAGUAGCCCGGUAAUACGAAGGGUGCAAGCGUUAAUCGGAAUUACUGGGCGUAAAGCGUGCGCAGGCGGUUGUGUAAGACAGGUGUGGAAUCCCCGGGCUUAACCUGGGAACUGCGCUCGUGACUGCACAGCUAGAGUAUGGCAGAGGGGGGUGGAAUUCCACGUGUAGCAGUGAAAUGCGUAGAGAUGUGGAGGAACACCGAUGGCGAAGGCAGCCCCCUGGGCCAAUACUGACGCUCAUGCACGAAAGCGUGGGGAGCAAACAGGAUUAGAUACCCCGGUAGUCCCUGUCUCUUAUACA